GACACCACUCGCCCCGUCCCCCUUUUUAUUCCUUCUUACUUCUCGAGGAAGAGAGGAGGGCGCGCGCCGGACUCUGCGUGUUCCGGAGGGCGAGCUCCGAGUGACCGAACCUCGUGAACGAAACCUCCUCCCAUCAUUGAUAGCAUGUGCGACUGCCGGCAGGGACUUACAUUGACUGGGAGUUGUUGACGGCGUGUUGCUCGCUCGACUCGAGCGAGCGAAAUCUCGACUCCCAAAACCCCGGAGUUUCGUGUUGUCGGUGGUGUUUUAUCGUACAUAAUCAUUGGUGAGAGGAUUAUCAGGUUGUAGUUCGGGUGCCUCAUCACCUACCUACUUACUUACUUAAUAGAUAGAUAGAUAAGUUAGAGGAAUGAUACUACCCCAACUUUCG
rnacentral:misc_RNA from 1 species